rnacentral:lncRNA from 1 species
CCCCUCCCGCGGCUGCGGUAGAGAAGCUCCGCGGCGCAGCCACGUGUCUCGUCAGCCGCGAUUAUCUCCCGGCCCCGGUGUCUCCGCUGCGGGCGCAGCUUCUGCCGGGCCGGUAAACCAAUCCAGAUGCAAGUGCAGACUUGGAAGGAAAAGAUAGACCAAGGAGAGGAGAAAACAGAAAUACAUGGAGAACGCAGGUGCUGAGAGACGGAAAGAUAUGCUGGAAA